rnacentral:rRNA from 1 species
UGGGGAAUAUUGCGCAAUGGGCGAAAGCCUGACGCAGCAACGCCGCGUGGGGGAUGAAGGUCUUCGGAUCGUAAACCCCUGUCGAAUGGGACGAAAGACUCGCGAGUGAAUACUUCGCGAGAGUGACGGUACCGUUAAAGGAAGCCACGGCUAACUCUGUGCCAGCAGCCGCGGUAAUACAGAGGUGGCAAGCGUGUUCGGAAUUACUGGGCGUAAAGGGCGCGUAGGCGGCCCUCUAAGUCAGACGUGAAAUCCCCCGGCUUAACCUGGGAACUGCGUCUGAUACUGGAGGGCUUGAGUAUGGGAGAGGGAUGUAGAAUUCCAGGUGUAGCGGUGAAAUGCGUAGAUAUCAAGAGGAACACCUGAGGUGAAGACGGGUUGCUGGGCUGACACUGACGCUGAGGCGCGAAAGCCAGGGGAGCAAACGGGAUUAGAUACCCAUGUAGUCCCUGAGCGGGCUGGCAAGGCGCAU